GUGCUCGCUAUGGCGCAUAUACUAAAAUUAGAACAAUACAGAGAAGAAUAGCAUGGCCCCUUGCGCAAGAACCCUCAUGUUACGGGACAUGACAAUAUUCCCAGUUUCU
rnacentral:snRNA from 1 species